rnacentral:rRNA from 1 species
UGGCGAAGGGGUGAGUAACCUUGGGUCUCUGCCCAUCAGCAGGGGAUAACACUUGGAAACCGGCGCUAAAACCGUAAAACAAUCAAAACCGCAAGGUUUUGAUUUGCCGGCGCUGUCGGGUGUCGCUGAUGGAGGGACCCGCGGUGCAGUAGCUAGUUGGUGAGGUAACGGCUCACCAAGGCGACGAAGCAUAGCCUACCUGAGAGGGUGAUCGGCCACAUUGGGAAUGAGACACGGCCCAAACUCCUACUGGAGGCAGCAGUAGGGAAUCUUCGGCAAUGGACGAAAGUCUGACCGAGCAACGCCCCGUGAGUGAAGAAGGUUUUCGGAUCGUAAAACUCAAAACUCUGUUGUUAGAGAAGAACAAGGAUGAGAGUAACUGUUCAUCCCUUGACGGUAUCUAACCAGAAAGCCACGGCUAACUACGUGCCAGCAGCCGCGGUAAUACGUAGGUGGCAAGCGUUGUCCGGAUUUAUUGGGCGUAAAGCGAGCGCAGGCGGUUUCUUAAGUCUGAUGUGAAAGCCCCCGGCUCAACCGGGGAGGGUCAUUGGAAACUGGGAGACUUGAGUGCAGAAGAGGAGAGUGGAAUUCCAUGUGUAGCGGUGAAAUGCGUAGAUAUAUGGAGGAACACCAGUGGCGAAGGCGGCUCUCUGGUCUGUAACUGACGCUGAGGCUCGAAAGCGUGGGGAGCAAACAGGAUUAGAUACCCUGGUAGUCCACGCCGUAAACGAUGAGUGCUAAGUGUUGGAGGGUUUCCGCCCUUCAGUGCUGCAGCUAACGCAUUAAGCACUCCGCCUGGGGAGUACGACCGCAAGGUUGAAACUCAAAGGAAUUGACGGGGGCCCGCACAAGCGGUGGAGCAUGUGGUUUAAUUCGAAGCAACGCGAAGAACCUUACCAGGUCUUGACAUCCUUUGACCACUCUAGAGAUAGAGCUUCCCCUUCGGGGGCAAAGUGACAGGUGGUGCAUGGUUGUCGUCAGCUCGUGUCGUGAGAUGUUGGGUUAAGUCCCGCAACGAGCGCAACCCUUAUUGUUAGUUGCCAUCAUUCAGUUGGGCACUCUAGCAAGACUGCCGGUGACAAACCGGAGGAAGGUGGGGAUGACGUCAAAUCAUCAUGCCCCUUAUGACCUGGGCUACACACGUGCUACAAUGGGAAGUACAACGAGUUGCG